AAACUGCCUUUGGUCUGACUGAGACUAAACAGAAUCUUAAAAUAAAAGACAAAGCAUCUCCAGAUUACAUAACGUGAAGAGCAACUUCACAUUAUUAUGAUUUGCUUCAAAUGUUGUUAAAAUAACCCAGUCAAGUGUUUGUUUUGUGCAGAUCCGUCAUGUGAAAGUGCCUCUUGGUGAUGACAACGCUGCAACCCCAUUAAAUAAAAACUACUCCCAGUGGUCUUCUGCUGAGCGACCCGCAGCGCUUCACUGCACUGACUCCCCUGCUGCUCCCAAGGAAAUUUCAGCAUUCUGUUAAAGCACACCGAUAUUUGUACAGGAAAAUGUCUGAUAGCAGCUUUCACUAAAUAUAAACACAUCACUUUGGUCCAAAACCUUAAAUUCUCAUGAGAAACAUGUGGAACUAAAACCCAGCUUUCUGGAGUCCUACUUAGUUUUAUUUCAACAAGGGGAAAAAACUGAAAAACAAAUCCGCAUUUGCAUUGCUCACAGAAUUACCACAUUUGCAUUGUCUCUCCUUUUUGUUUUUUACAACUGGAAAUUGUCAGGACCCUUUGUGACUCUCUCUCUGGUUAAGGGAGUGAAAACGGUGGAGCUUUGAGGAAACAGAAGCACAGUAAGAGGCUUAUCUGAUCAAUUCUCCCUCCUCCUUUUGGUCCCAACUUUCAAAACUGCAAUAAACCAAAAAGAAAAAAAACCUUCUCAUCUGCAACACUUGAUUUAUUUUGCACAAAUGAAAAAGUUUUCCUCCCUGUUCAGCUUUUAGGUUGGUUUAUUGUGCAGUUGCAUCAGCUGACAAUUCUAUUCUCUCCGUGCUUUAAGUUUAAAUUAUAUCUCCAUGUUUUCUCAUUUCACUAACAAAAUAAUGGGCAGUUUUGUGGAUUUAGUUCUGCAUUAGAGACAAUAAAACAAACAUAAUAAUGCCUUGUUUGUUUUAUCGUAUUGAGUAUAGCCAAACCCAAUAAGAAGCUAUGCUUGUGCUGAGCUAUUCAUUUCUACUAACUGCACAUUUAGAUGUAGGACGGAGGCUGGCAGGGGAGGGAAAUGUGGAAGCUUUUAGUCGUGUCUUACUGGUGUGAAAUGAAAGGCACAAAACCACCUCGUGUUUUUGUGCCUUUCAUGCAUGCAUGUCGGAGCAGAGCGGACUGGGCCGGGCGCAGGCCUGCCCCAGACAUUCUCCUGAUUUCCAAACGAUGCUGGAGCGGGUGGAUCAAAUUGAGGUAAAGACAGUCAGAAAAGAGGAGGUUUGUGCUGGUUUGGGGCGGAGCGGCUGCCUAUACAAGCUGUGGGUAGAGCAAACCGCAUGAGCUGAAAAUAUUAGAAGGCACUUUGGUGACGAUGUGGACUGGUCACUGCUUUGCUGUGGAAUUCAGCUCCUUUCAAAUCUCCCUUCACAGCUCAGCCUGGGAUUUCUCCCACUAAAUGGAUUUCUUUGUAGAAUUCUAGCCAGGCCAACCAAUCAGCAAAGAGGAGAAGUUGUGAACGAUGAUGCUGAUUUUCUGCACUGGUUUAAAUUUUUAGUCUGCCUGUAACUUUAGCAAUGGCAGCAGAGGAAGUUAACAAACCCGUUCACCACAUACUUGCCACUUUCCACAUAUUGAAUUAACAUGAAGAGCUGCCUUGUUAGACCCGCCUCCUGGCUCUGAUUGGCUGUUUUUGUCCGGGAGCGGUGCAAGGUCAGGGAGGAGGAGGUCGAUCUUCUCACAGAUUGUCUGUUUCAAACCGUCAGGAUUAUGGUGACAUUUUAACAAAUAUAGAAAAUCCUUUUUUUUUUUUUAAGUUACAUACUGCAGCUUUAACAUGUUGACAACCUGUUAAUAAUAUGUGAGAAUUUAACACAUAAACACUUUGACAAGGUGUUGUGUACAACUACGUUUUGCUUACAUGAUGUGUUGAAAGUCACAUAUAUUUGAGCUGGAUGGCUUUCCGUAGACAAACAGCCGUAGCUGCGGGUUCAUUCGUACUCGGUGCAGACCACCUGGGGAGAGCCCACCGUUUCCUGGGAGACCAAGACAAAGUGCCAGAAGCCGUGGCAGAGACGGACGCUGAGGCCUGCGCAGACCGAGAUGGCGACCGGACCCCGUGGGACUCCGCAGAUGGGACAGCUUGUGCCAUACCGAGAGCCGUCACAUCCAGACGGUAAAAUGUCACAAAAAUGUCAGGGGAGCUCGAGUUGGCUUCGGAGCUGAUAGUCCUCAGUGAUACACCAUUGAACAACAGCAAAGAAAAGGCCAAACUGCCCUACGCUCAAGUGCUGUCACAGACAGAAAACUGGCUCUGCUGCCAUUAGUCAGAUACUGGUUCAAUACUUGAUUUUCAUCUAAAGACUAUUAAAAGCAGAGUCAUGUA